rnacentral:rRNA from 1 species
AUACGGAGGAUCCGAGCGUUAUCCGGAUUUAUUGGGUUUAAAGGGUGCGUAGGCGGGGAUUUAAGUCAGUGGUGAAAGUUUAGGGCUCAACCUUAAAAUUGCCGUUGAAACUGGAUUUCUUGAGUACGGUAGAGGUAGGCGGAAUUUGUGGUGUAGCGGUGAAAUGCUUAGAUAUCACGAAGAACUCCGAUUGCGAAGGCAGCUUACCGGACCGUAACUGACGCUGAGGCACGAAAGUGUGGGGAUC